rnacentral:rRNA from 1 species
ACAGGCCCAAAAUAAUACAAACGGCGUAAAGCACGACUAAAAAAAGUAAUACACUAGAGAAUGAAGCCAAACUGGGCUGUAAAAAGCCAUAAGUGACAAUAACCCACCUACAUGAAACAAAUUCCACUCGUGAAAGUCAGGACACAAACUAAGAUUAGAUACCUUACUAUGCCUAACUGUAACACAACAAUUAAAUCACCAAUUGUUCGCCAAAUAACUACGAGUAAAAACUUAAAAUUUAAAAGACUUGACGGUACCUCACAACAGCCUAGAGGAGCCUGUCCAUAACCGAUACUCCACGAUUAACCCAACCCCCCCUAGCCAACAGUCUAUAUACCGCCGUCGCCAGCCUACCUUGUGAAAGAAACAAAGUAGACCAAAUAGCCACACACUAACACGACAGGUCGAGGUGUAACUAAUGGGUGGGCCAAGAUGGGCUACAUUUUCUAAUACAGAAAAUACGAAUUUAACUAUGAAAAAGAAACUGAAGGCGGAUUUAGCAGUACACUAAGAACAAAACACUUAGUCGAAAUCGAUGCAAUGAGGUGCGUACACACCGCCCGUCAUCCCUGUUGAUAAAACCCAAACAUUCAUAAACACAAAACACUACAAAG